GACGAACCGUGCGAACGUUGUUCGGAAUCACUGGGCUUAAAGGGCGCGUAGGCGGGCCGGACGGUCCGGGGUGAAAUCCCCCCGCUCAACGGGGGAACGGCCCCGGACACCGCCGGCCUCGAGGAAGGUAGGGGCGAGCGGAACGCUGGGUGGAGCGGUGAAAUGCGUUGAUAUCCAGCGGAACUCCGGUGGCGAAGGCGGCUCGCUGGGCCUUUUCUGACGCUGAGGCGCGAAAGCCAGGGGAGCGAACGGG
rnacentral:rRNA from 1 species